rnacentral:snRNA from 1 species
GGAUAUGCUGGCCAUCAGCUGCGGCACGUCACCCCACGGAUCCCCCAGAUAGCCAGGGCUGACUCGGCUCAUCUGGCUGGCUAGGUGGGUAUCCCCCUCCUCCCACAAUGCUCCUCAUAUGUCCCCCUUGAAGCUGCACACAGUCCAAGAGGACGACCACCCGAUAUAGGGGACUCUUCCUAGUAGCUGUGCACCCCUGCUAGAACCUCCAAACAAGCUCUCAUGACGAUUCUGCAUCCACCCUGGAAACCAUUCAGAUCCUAACCUAAGAUUUAAAAUACACAGGCCAGGGCUGGAGAGAUGGCUCAGUGGUCUAAGGC